CUAAUUAUCUGAACCUAUACUUCUAUUACGUGAAUUGUAAGUAGUGGAGAAGGUAGAGCAGCAUUCCUAUUGUAUCAAUUCUAAUUACGUGAAUUCUUUGAUAAGUUCGCAUACAGUGAGAGUCAACGACAUACAUAUGCAGAGUAGGACCUACUCUACGGAUAACGUUCCACUAUGCGGACAUUUUUCACGUGGAAAAAGCUUAAUCCUCUGCAAGAAUGUUUGUUAACAAUCAACGAAGCUACCAGCGAAAAGACGAUACAGCUUCACGAACAAUUAAAAGGAUUAGCUGUUGUACUGCUGUUAUAUGUGUUAAAUGUGAUACUAGGAAGAUCGAGGACACCAUAUUUAUUAUAUUACGACAGAUUUAGAAGAAACUGCUUUUCCAUACAAUACCAGAAUUCGAUGAUCUUGAUAAUGUCGACGCGAUAGAACGCUUUUAAUGUGAUGAAUCUUCUUCUUCAGUGGACGUCUUCUUCACAUGAUGUUAAUGUCGUUUGGUGGAGAAACGCGACGGAAGGGAAUUGGCGUAGCUGCUGAUCGCACAGUUUCUCGGUUACAUUGGUGUAACCGGUUCUCCACGACUUCUCGUCGAGUGUCUUUGUGUCGUCGAGGAAUCCGUGCCGUUCGAGCGAUUUUUAUUAAACGACGCGGCUCACAGAGUACAUUGUUUGUCGCGAGCAACGCCACUUCAUCGCCUCUUGUGGGAACAGCCAACCCCGAGCCACCGUAGAAUCUCGCAAUUGCUGACUGACGAUUUAGAGCCCGACCGAUUAAAACGGACUGAGAAAAGGAAAUUUAUUUGGUAGCACCGAUUCGAAUACGCUCUCGGGUUAUUUCGUCUGCAAGUGUAAUAAAAAUGGAGAAAGAAGAAGGAAGUGAAGAGACGCGACAGAGACCUACCGAUACCGAUUCCUCUCCAUUUAGUCUUAUUUCUUCUCCAUUUUCGACUCGGUGCUCACUUUAAAGCGCUGUCUCCGCGCGCCAAUUGCCAACACCUUUCUGCAGACUGCGCUCCGGGUUCUUUCGUUUGCAAGUCUAAUAAAAAACGAGAAAGAAGGAGAAGAAGAAGGAGUAGAAGAAGAAGAAAAGAUACGGAGAGAAAGAAAGGACGACAAGGGGAGACUUACGGUCCUCGUGGAAUACAGAGGAAACGCGGCGCGUAAAUAGAGCGAAUAAAAGAGGUCGAGUUGAAAUGGGGCUGAAAAUUUGUAAAGAUGAGGAAAAGGGUUUUUUUCGAGUUAAUGAAGGAAUUGUACAGUGGAAUUCAUGUCAUUUUAACGAACGACCAAUUUCAAGAGGAACCGAUUAUUUCUUCGUUAAUCAUUAAACUAUACAUUGUGCACAUUUUCACCAGCCAGCUGCUUGCUACUCCAUUGCAUCGAUAAAAUAGAAAUUUUCUACCGGACAAAAG